ACUGGGAGCCAGAGAGAGAACAUUGAAUAAGGCAAAAAGUGUUGUAGUUUGUCUUCAUGUCAGCUGCAAGUGUGUGAAGUCGCUACAUUACACACAUUGGUUCUUACCCACAUGGAGGGCUCCUGACUCUUAAGAAAGCACUGGAAAUGCUUUUUCACAGUUCAAAUAAAUCUCUUUCAAAUAACUUUAAAAAAAAAAACAAUUUUAACAUAAAUUGUUGGGAAAAAAACAACAACAACAACAACAACAAAAAAACAAACAUGUCCAUGUAAAAAGGUAAGCAGCCACAAAAGUCAGGUCCAAUGCAGCAGCACCCAGCUGUGUUGGGAACAGCUCUGUUCCCCCCUUCCUUCUCUGCCAGGCAAAACACUUUCUUAAUUUAGUCCUGAAAUUGGGAAGACAACUCCAGGUAUGUUUUCUGUUCUAUGUCAAAACAGAUUUGAGUUGGAUCCAAACCAUACACUCCAGUAAACGAUGGAGAAAUUCACAGAUCUGAUUGCCACUGAAAUGGUUAUACGUGAUGCUGUGUUGAAACAGCAAGCUGAAGUUUGACUUGUCGUUUCAGGUUCACACCUGUGUUUCUUUGCCCUAAAAACAAAUGGAGGGCUCUGCUGAAGGUCUCUGCUAUUGUGAAGGUCUCCACUAUUGAAAUGACCAACCGCAGGAGCCCAGCCCCAUCAGCACCCGGAGCAGCUCCAUAUGGUACCUGCAGGACACAGAAUGGCACUGGGCCACCCGCGACGUGCCCGGCUCGUGCCACACAAAGCACUGCCAACCUGCUGCCACCAAGCUCCCUCCUGGCCAUAGCAGUGAGGGAGUGAGUGGAACACAGGGAGCCUGGUUUUGCUGCUGCUGUUACGGCGUCUGCUUCGUGUCCUGUUCUACAGAAUUUUGGGUAGGUCCUAGCUUUGCUUCCUCCAGAGCACGGUUUUUUGUCUUUUAACUAAUCAUAAAGGCUCCAAAAAAGCUCGCCUCCUUGUCCAUGUCAACGAUAUCACUGUUACUGACCGAGACAAAAAUUCUGUCCUCCCUUUUUAGCUGGAACACCCCGCCCUGGUAGAUGGAAUAAAGUCCAUACUCAGCCUUUUUGGACCAGCAGCUUGUUCUUGCGCUCUUCAUGAGCAGAAUGGGAUCUGGGUAAUUUGUCAGUUUGUAAAUGUACUGGACGAGCUGCUUGGGAUUCUUUAUUCGUUCCAACAAACCCGAGUCCUCGUCCUCAUUUUCGCGGAAGCGAAAGUAAGUCUGUGAGUAGAUGUAAUAGAAGCCUGUCUGGGGCACCACCAGCUCACCGUUCCACAGCUCCACGUUGUAGAGGAAGGAGUGGCCUCUCCUCGAUGACUCCCAGCUGUGGAUUUU
rnacentral:lncRNA from 1 species